ACAUACGACCAUACCCACUGGAGAACUCGGGAUCCCGUCCGCUCUCCCAUAGAUAAGCCAAUGAGGGGCGGAUUAGUAGUUGGGUCGGUGACGACCAGCGAAUCCCCGCUGUUGUAUGUU
rfam:Nectria haematococca mpVI 77-13-4 chromosome 2 genomic scaffold NECHAsca_18_chr2_1_0, whole genome shotgun sequence.